AACGAACGCUGGCGGCAGGUCUUAGGCAUGCAAGUCGAACGGGUGUAGCAAUACAUCAGUGGCGCACGAGUGAGUAACGCGUGGGAAGCUGCCCUUCCCUGGGGAAUAACGUUUGGAAACGAACGCUGAUACCGCAUACGCCGGAAACGGGAAAGAUUUAUCGGUGAAGGAUGCGCCCGCGUUGGAUUAGCUUGUUGGUGGGGUAACGGCCUACCAAGGCGAUGAUCCAUAGCUGGUCUGAGAGGACGAUCAGCCACGCUGGAACUGAGACACGGUCCAGACUCCUACGGGAGGCAGCAGCUAAGAAUAUUGGACAAUGGGGGAAACCCUGAUCCAGCCAUGCCGCAUGAAUGAAGAAGGCCUUCGGGUUGUAAAGUUCUUUUAGUCGUGAAGAUGAUGACAGUAGCGACAGAAAAAGCACCGGCUAACUUCGUGCCAGCAGCCGCCGUAA
rnacentral:rRNA from 1 species